CUAUUCAAGCGAUUGACUCACUGAUGGAGGAAGAUGAUGAGCGAUCGACAAAGGCCAUCUGGAGUCCCAAGCAUCCCCUCAAACUCCAUGUGUGGGGGGCAAGUUCUCGCCAGGGACCAGGCCCAUAUUUGAUUUUUGAUGACAAUGACCCUAAACCCACUGGGUUUGCAUUGCAAAUGAGGGCAAAAACUGGGUCAAGACGGCAGCAGAGUCUCCUGAUUUUAACCYGAUCUAARUUGUUUGGGAUCAAMUGAAAACAUUAAUCCGUAACUCUGCCAAGCCUGCAAGCAAAGAUGAACUGGUGAAGGCCWUYAAGAYGUUUUGGCUWGAGAAAUUGACGAUACAACAAUGCAACAAAUACAUUGAUCAUCUCAGCAAGUUUUUACCUGUKGUCGUGGAGCUGGGGGGA